GAUGAACGCUGGCGGCGUGCCUAAUACAUGCAAGUCGAGCGAACGGACGAGAAGCUUGCUUUUCUGAUGUUAGCGGCGGACGGGUGAGUAACACGUGGAUAACCUACCUAUAAGACUGGGAUAACUUCGGGAAACCGGAGCUAAUACCGGGUAAUAUUUUGAACCGCAUGGUUCAAAAGUGAAAGACGGUCUUGCUGUCACUUAUAGAUGGAUCCGCGCUGCAUUAGCUAGUUGGUAAGGUAAUGGCUUACCAAGGCAACGAUGCAUAGCCGACCUGAGAGGGUGAUCGGCCACACUGGAACUGAGACACGGUCCAGACUCCUACGGGAGGCAGCAGUAGGGAAUCUUCCGCAAUGGGCGAAAGCCUGACGGAGCAACGCCGCGUGAGUGAUGAAGGUCUUCGGAUCGUAAAACUCUGUUAUUAGGGAAGAACAUAUGUGUAAGUAACUGUGCACAUCUUGACGGUACCUAAUCAGAAAGCCACGGCUAACUACGUG
rnacentral:rRNA from 1 species